ensembl:piRNA 21ur-2917 ncRNA
UGUGACGUUGAAAUGAGUGGC